GACGAACCGUCCAAACGUUAUUCGGAAUUACUGGGCGUAAAGCGUGCGCAGGCGGUUUUGUAAGUCAGAUGUGAAAUCCCCGGGCUUAACCUGGGAACUGCGUUUGAAACUACAAGGCUAGAGUGUGGCAGAGGGGGGUGGAAUUCCACGUGUAGCAGUGAAAUGCGUAGAGAUGUGGAGGAACACCGAUGGCGAAGGCAGCCCCCUGGGCUAACACUGACGCUCAUGCACGAAAGCGUGGGGAGCAAACAGG
rnacentral:rRNA from 1 species